AGUAGUUUGAUCCGUGGCUACGAGGACGACGCUGGCGGUGUGCUUCACACAUGCAAGUCGAACGAGGUAGCAAUACCUAGUGGCGGACGGGUGAGUAACGCGUGGGAAUCUGCCUUUAGAUGGGGGAUAACGGGUCGAAAGACUCGCUAAUACCGCAUAUGACGAAAGUUGAAAGGAGUAAUCCGUCUAAAGAUGAGCCCGCGUCCGAUUAGCUAGUUGGUAGAGUAAAAGCCUACCAAGGCGACGAUCGGUAGCUGGUCUGAGAGGAUGAUCAGCCACAAUGGGACUGAGACACGGCCCAUACUCCUACGGGGAGGCAGCAGUGGGGAAUUUUACGCAAGUGGGCGAAAGCCUGACGUAGCGACACCGCGUGAGCGAAGAACGCCCCUUGGGGUGUAAAGCUCUGUCAGCUGGAACGAAAAAAUGACGGUACCAGCAGAGGAAGCAUCGGCUAACUACGUG
rnacentral:rRNA from 1 species